rnacentral:lncRNA from 1 species
GUAAUCUAGUAAAUAUCUUGUUGACAGUCAGUUUUUACAUGUGCUGUAGUAUACUUAAAUCACUAUAGAUUUUGGUGUGAACAUCAAUAACAAACCAAGAAUCUCAGCGCAGCUCAGUUUGACCCAUAGGAAAAGUGAGACUUAUUAUUUAUUGUAGUCAGCAGUGUGUUUCUCAACUCCAUUGCAUCACCAAGAGGCUGGGAAAGAAAUUAACUCCACACUUCCAAGGUUCCUGCCCUGUUUGAAUUCAUGUCCUGACUUCCUUUUUGACAAAUAGUGAUCUGUCUCUGGCUGAAAGGCCGAGUUCAGGGUGUGAUGAGAUUUUGGCAUUGUUCUGCCAUAGUCAGACUUUCCAGCGUGAAGCACUAAUGGAUGCAGGAACACUCAGAGUGUUGGAGAAUUGUUCGGAUAGGAAGGUUUGGAAUUUUCACUUGUAUCUCUGCUCUAAUGCCUUUGAAACAGUAUCUAUAAAGUGUGGCAAUCCCAUGAAAGAACAUUUGAAGGCACAAGAAUGAUGCAGUCACAGUCGUUGUAAUUAUUGGAGCAUUCAAGGAUCCUUUGGAAUUAUAGCACAUCAGAAUUGGGAACAUAUUCAUAAAUACUUCUGAAGUUUUGG